rnacentral:rRNA from 1 species
CCUACCUGGUUGAUCCUGCCAGUAGUCAUAUGCUUGUCUCAAAGAUUAAGCCAUGCAUGUCUAAGUACGAGCUGUGUUUACACGGCGAGACCGCGGACGGCUCAUUAAAUCAGUCGUGGUCCAUAUGGGCUAGAGUUAAUCUUACUUGGAUAACUGUGGUAAUUCCAGAGCUAAUACAUGCAACUCUUAUCCUGAUGUAGCGCGGCUGGUAACGGUCGUUGCGCUGACGGAUGCUUUUAUUAGACCAAACCGUUGGGUGCGUGUUCAUCCUCGUGGUGUUCGCGUACGGCUCGUUUAAUGGUGACUCUGGAUAACCUUAUUGACAAGCGCACGUACUCCUCGUGGGACGGCGCUGCCACUUUCGAGUGUCUGCCUUAUCAGCUAUCAACCGUUCGUUAUGUGCGCACGAUGGCGUUGACGGGUAACGGGGAAUCAGAGUUCGAUUCCGGAGAGGCAGCCUGAGAGACGGCUACCACGUCCAAGGACGGCAGCAGGCACGCAAAUUACCCAAUCCCAGCACCUGGGGGAGGUAGUGACGAAAUAUAACGAUGCGGGCGCCCUUUCUGGGGCCCCGCAAUCGGAAUGGCCACUUUCUAAACAACCUGUUGAGAACCUACUGAAGGGCAAGUCUGGUGCCAGCAGCCGCGGUAAUUCCAGCUUCAGUAGCAUCUAUUAAAGUUGCUGCGGUUAAAAGGCUCGCAGUUGAAUGUCAGUAUCGAGCGCAGGUCAGGUGGACGUUGGGGCGUGAGCAUCCAAGGCAUGCGUUUGGUUGUUGUUGUUGUUGCACUCCGGUGUGAUGAUGAUGAUGAUCUUUCAUGUGUCGUUCACAAGCCCCCGUCCGUAACAAGCCUCCUCGCUUGUGUACAUAUCGGAAUCUGUAUUACGGAGUGUGCGUUGCGGAGGUUCUGGGUUGCGCGUUCGUGUUCUCUUGUACCUCGUGUGCGAGUUUGCGUGUUCGUUGCGCUUGUUCUCUUUUGCGCGUGCGUUAAGCUCCAUCGGUUCUAUAGUCACCCUGAGUAAAUCAGAGUGCUCAAAGCAGUCGUAGGGGCCUUGUGCCCUUUGAACAGUCUAGCGGACUGACUUGGUUUUGCAUGGUAUGUCGAAAGACGACGUCUAGCGCUGGCUCAGAGUGUUAAUCAGUGGUACAAGCCAGCCUAGACGUAAUGAUUAAAAGGGACAGUCGAGGGCAUUGGUAUUGCGAGGCGAGAGGUGAAAUUCUAUGACCCCCGCAAGACCUCCUGAAGCGAAAGCGUCCGCCAAGGAUGUUUUCAUUAAUCAUGAACGAAAGUUAGAGGAUCGAAGGCGAUCAGAUACCGCCCUAGUUCUAACCCUAAACGAUGCCAACCACCAAUCCGCGUGUAGCACCUUUCUUAACGGGCUCGGCGGGCAGCUCCUUACUUACGGGAAACCAGAGUCUCUGGGUUCCGGGGGGAGUCUGGUUGCAAAGCUGAAACUUAAAGGAAUUGACGGAAAGGCACCACCAGGCGUGGCAGCCUGCGGCUUAAUUUGACUCAACACGGGCCAUCUCACCAGGCCAGCACUCUUGUACGAUUGACAGAUUGAGAGCUCUUUCUCGAUUUAGUGGAUGGUGGUGCAUGGCCGUUCUUAGUUGGUGGAGUGAUCUGUCUGGUUAAUUCCGAUAACGAACGAGACUCUCCCCUGCUAACUAGUCGGUUGGAUCUUGAUAUUUUUAUUGAUGUCGCUGUGAGUCGUGUGCCGAGUAAACCUUACGUUUUCGGGGGCAUUGCGCGCGGGGGUGUGUGUUUGCGUGCUUUUUGUGGUUCAUUCUGCAUUGGUGUGUGGGCGUGCGCUCUUGUGUGUGUGUUCUCGCGCGUGAGGCCUUGGAUUUCACACUCCAAGUCCGCCGCUUAUGCUUAAAACUCUUCUUAGAGGGAUUCACGGUUCUGAAGCCGUAAGAGACUGAGAGCAAUAACAGGUCUGUGAUGCCCUUAGAUGUUCUGGGCCGCACGCGCGCUACAAUGCCGGGCACAGCAGGUAGUUUUCCUUCUCCGACAGGAGCGGGGUAACCCUGUGAAAGCCCUAUUUCUAACAGUUUUUACGGGUGUCGAGACUUCGGUCUCGAUGCUCUUCUGGCGUGAUUGGGCCUGGGUCUUGCAAUUUUUUCCCACAAACGAGGAAUGCCUUGUAGCGGCGGGUCACUGAGCCCGCCGUGACUCAGUCCCUGCCCUUUGUACACACCGCCCGUCGCUACUACCGAUUGGGUGUACCAGUGAGAGCCUUGGACUGGCGUCCGCUGUUCCCUUUAUUGUGUGAACAAGCGGGUCCGACGGGAAGAGGUCCGAACUGGUGCACUUAGAGGAAGUAAAAGUCGUAACAAGGUUUCCGUAGUGAACCUGCGGAAGGAUCAUUA